rnacentral:rRNA from 1 species
CACGUAGUUAGCCGUGACUUCCUCGCCGGGUACCAUCACUCAGAAAGCUUUCCACUCCUUCUGCCUUUUGUCCCCGGCAACAGAGCUUUACGAUCCGAAGACCUUCCUCGCUCACGCGGCAUUGCUCGUUCAGGGUUCCCCCCAUUGACGAAAAUUCCCUACUGCUGCCUCCCGCAGGAGUCUGGGCCGUGUCUCAGUCCCAGUGUGGCCGUCCGCCCUCUCAGGCCGGCUAUGCAUCGUCGCCUUGGUGAGCCGUUACCUCUCCAACCAGCUAAUGCACCGCAGGUCCAUCUGCAUGCGGGACUCUUGUCCCCUUUUCCAAAAAGAGAUGCCUCCUCUUUGCUCAUCCGGUAUCAGCUUCCGUUUCCAGAAGUUCUCCCGCUCAUGCAGGCAGGUUCCCUAGUGUUACUCACCCGUUGCCACUCAUAUCCGAAGAUAUCCGUUGACUUGCAUGUAUUAGGCAUGCCGCAGCGUUUCAUCCUGACGCCAA